AUAUAUAUAUAUAUAUAUAUAUAUAUAUAUAUAUUACAUUGCUCGGAAGGCGCGUGAGAUGCGAUUUCGCGUUUGCGGUUUUUGGUAUGAAAGAAUUUUAAAAAUUAUUCUUCCAACAAAAAUUGGCGGCACUGACCAGUAGAUUGAAAUUCCAAAGUAAAAUAGAAAAAUUAUUAAUAGACAUAUCUCAGUUAAGUAUAUAUGUUAAUAACACGUGCACAACUUUUCUUAACUGAGCUCUACUUAUUUAGUUCUCUAAACAGAUUUGUGUGUGUAUUUCUUAACUUGAAAUUGCAUAGAAUAUGUUUUUUUUUUUUUUUUUUUUUGCCUUUAUCCAAAUUGCACAAGUAAAGGCAUUGCAGUAGCGCGUCAUAGCCCCCCAUUAAAUACUCUACACCACUUCGUUCAAUACGGUUAUUGAUUUAAUGACUUUUUAAAAUAAAGUGUUAUAUGGGGAAAUGAUUGGAAAAGUGGUCCGAUAUGAACUAUUUUCAAUAGUGUUUAUCAUUGGGCUAAAUCACUAUCUCGAGGAUUGUGACCUGUAUGUUAAAUACAACAAAAGAACAAGACAGCCAUCCAUCGAUUCGGAAAGUGAAUCUGGUUCGAUCGGUGUAGUAAAAGCUAAAUCUAUUUAAAGUCCUUGUAGGUAUUGCAUACAUUUGCACAAACUUAAGCAGUUUACCGUAUAAAAAUAAAAAUUAGUAGCUUAAGUCUAGGUUUUCAAAAAAAUAAAAUUAUGCUUUUUCAUGUGAUCUUUAUCUCAUCAAGCUUGGCUGUUGCAAAAAGAUAGCCAAGCUUUUUUCAUUCCAAUCGAGCGAGUUUGAUUGAGUUGAUUCGAGUUCUUUUGUUAUACCCUAUGCUGUUUGUGGUAUAGUUUGCAACACUCACAAGUAGCUGUGUUAGUAAGCAUCGCGACUACCAGGUCAGUGCUCGCGGAUUCAAAUCUUAGUGCGCUAGAGUUUUCUUUUUCGUCGGUCGUUUGGUCGUUGGGCAGACAAGAACUGCGCUGUGGCCAACACCACCACCUCUCUAUUUCUUCUUUCCUUUGUCCUUUUUCCUCAUUUCUCUCUGAUCGCUACCGCGCUACGCAUAUAGGGGGCAUUCCCUGAGUGAUUGAUCAUAUAUAUACAUAUACAAAAAAAAAAAAGAAAAGAUAUAUGUAACUCUUACUAUACAGAUCGAUUUAAAAUUGCUUUUGAAACGAUUUAAUCUUACUUGUCCGUCUCUCUAAUGUUGAUCAAGGAUUUUUUUUUGUGUUCAAUCUACGAAAUUUAGUACAUUGAUGUAUUUUUGAUUGGCUCGCGACUACUUUAGAGCCAGCCUCCUAUGUACGAUCUUAUUUUGAAAACAUUUUUGUAGGAGAAAGUUUACAAUUUUCAACCUUUCUCCACAAAAAUCAUGCGACAAUAGAUUUAGUUGAUGCGAAAAAUUUAGAUCGAAUGGCGUAGUUUUUAGCACCCGUUCUCUUAUAAGAGUGGUCAGGAAAAUGUAGUCUUUAUGUGAAAAAAAAAAAAAAAAAAAAAAAUUUUUUUAAUGUUUGAUAAUGAAAAUGAGUACAAGUGUAGCAAAUUGGGACAGAGUAGAUCACCAUUAUGAUGAAAAUUGCUCGGUAGUAAUAGUCUGACAUAAUAAUUAAAUAUAGUAUAGGUGGGCCAAGUAGAUAUAUUUUUUGGUCCCCAAUUUAUAUAAGGAUAUAAAGCAAUACUUUUGAUAUUUUAUAAUGACAAUAGGUGAAUAAGUAAUUAACACCAACUUUAACUUCAGGAUAUUUCAAGAUUGGCCCUACUCGACUGCCAUGUUGUGAUUUGUUUUACCCAAAAAUCAGCCGAAGCAACUUUCUAGAAAGAUGUCAAGGGACGGUCGCAAGUUUAACUAACUUAACUACAUUUGUGUUAAUUAAUUAAUUAAUAGAGAAUCUUGCGUGCAUAGAGGCAAAGGUAUUCAAUUAUCCAUUAAACGUUUUUAAUAAAUAAAUAAUAAAUAAACAAAUAAAUAUAAUAAUUGGAAAAAUAAAAAGUUUCAAAAUGAUAUUCGCCCCGCCAUCGGCCAUCGGCCAUCGGCUAUCUUUUCGCUUAAAAAAUAGAAAAACUUUGCUUGUCCUAUUUCUAUGUAGAAGGUACGUGAAAAGUUGUAUAUCUAUGCCUUUUGUAGUUUAUAAGUAACAACAAAAAGAAUCAAUUUUUUUUUGGUGAAACAGAGGUGUUCUCAGUUUAUAUUGUAUUGCGAGUGUGUCCUUUUACUGAUUCAGGCCGGUUUCAAUAUCAAUUCACUCCUACAGUGACAUUCAAUGCUUUUGCAAAAUUCGAAACUGGUAUCAGGAGAACGUUUAUUGCAUUAAUCGACGGAAGCUGGCAUAUGGAACGACAGACAUAUUGUCUGUCUGGAUUCGGUAUAUGGUAUUUACCAAGAAUAUAUGUAUAUUUCUUGUGGAGUCUUUGAAGUUUCCUUUUGCGUGUUGGAAAGAAUAUUGGCGAAGCGAAAACAUCCCCAUCGUUCGGUGCAGUAGCAGUAGCAGUAGCCUUCGAAGCGGAUAUGCGCUUAGGCGUAUGCAGCAAAUGAAAUGACAAAGGCAUGUCCCGCAUACGUGCAGAAAGAAGUGGGAAAAGAAAGAAAGAGAUAGAAAGUAGCCGCUGUCAAGUGACUACUGUGAGCCCACAAAUCGGUAAAUGCGAGCAUUCGCUAUAACUGCGUGUGACGAAAGUUAACUCUACCGCAUUGAUAUUUGAUUCCGCGAACUUACUUCGGACACGUGGAAUUGUCACAUGUCGUUCAAAUUUUGCAUAUUCUCCAUGCGGUCGUAUCACUAAGUAGAUAAGGCUCGCAAUUACCAAAGACCAAGUGUAAUCACAAACAGCACUGAAACUUGAUUUGGCCACUCCUGCGUAAAGUAUGGAUCGCUAUUUUUGAGAUAAUUUGAUGAAAUUUCAUACAAGCGACAAGUUUUGGCUCAAGGAAGAACGCUAUUGCAAAUAGUUCGGGUCAGACUAUUUUUUCGAUUACUCCCCAUAUAAAGCUUUAUUUUGAAAAAUUGUUAUUUGUAUAACUGUAUUAAACCAGGUGAAGUAAAGGGUUUAACGGCGUGCCUUGUCGUACUCUUUGUUUUGCUUAAAAAUGCUAAUAAUUUUACGAUAAAAGUGCAUGUUCUUGUCAUUGUGUUAAUCACAUAAUCCCUUUACAUUUUGCAGAUCUACUCACUUGACGGAACUAUUUCAGAGAAACAUACCAACACAUCGCUUAUAUCAUCUUUUAUAGGGUAUGCGUAGCAGAGGAGAGUUCGUAACAUUAAAAUGCAAAGCGUUUGCUUUUUAGUUCAAACUAAAGGAUGAACUAUAACUUUCGAACGAUCUGUUCAGAUUGGUUCGCAAACGAUUGAAAAUUGUUUGUCGUUAUAAGCUUUGGUUCGUUUCGUUGUUGCCCAUUGGGAUCUCGUUUUCUUUGCUCAGACCUCACUAUCAGUUAGUCAGUAAUAUCUUGUUUGUGUUUAUGACCGACAGCCGUCAUUCUUUUCGUGAACUCUUCGCUUUGAUGUUUGAUUCUAAGACAUCAGAUCACUUUUAUUAGAAGAAUAUUCUUCUUCUUUUUUUUUUGGUUAGAUAAAUCAUCUUAAUAAAUCCUUCAAUUUUCAGCACUUUUCGUUUUCAAUAUGAAAUAAAUGAACUGCCGUAGCCUUUGUAGCUUAACGAAUUACCAGUGUUCCGUCAAAGUGUAACCUGUAGCCCAACUCUCUGCCAAAGAAUAUAUUUUGUGUUUUUGUGAGUUUUGCAGUCGCUUUGCAUAAGUGAUAAAACCACUUCAACGUUUGCUGCUCUAACAUUUUAAUGCCCUUUUCUUAAAACCCUAAAAAUAUGCUCUAUCAUUUGAUGCAAAAUUUUGUUACGUGACGUGUCCUUUUUGUGUUUGUUUAUUUAUUUAUUUAUUUUUUACUUUUAAUUGAAAAUAUUAUGCAGAAAUUAUGUAAUAAGAAAUACUUUAGAUUAUAGAAAAGUCUAAUUGGAUUGGAAAGUUAGCAAAAGAAAA